rnacentral:rRNA from 1 species
GGGUGCGGUGCUAUACUGCAGUCGACGCUUCUUUUUCCCCGGAGCUUGCUCCACCGGAAAAAGAGGAGUGGCGAACGGGUGAGUAACACGUGGGUAACCUGCCCAUCAGAAGGGGAUAACACUUGGAAACAGGUGCUAAUACCGUAUAACAAUCGAAACCGCAUGGUUUUGAUUUGAAAGGCGCUUUCGGGUGUCGCUGAUGGAUGGACCCGCGGUGCAUUAGCUAGUUGGUGAGGUAACGGCUCACCAAGGCCACGAUGCAUAGCCGACCUGAGAGGGUGAUCGGCCACAUUGGGACUGAGACACGGCCCAAACUCCUACGGGAGGCAGCAGUAGGGAAUCUUCGGCAAUGGACGAAAGUCUGACCGAGCAACGCCGCGUGAGUGAAGAAGGUUUUCGGAUCGUAAAACUCUGUUGUUAGAGAAGAACAAGGAUGAGAGUAACUGUUCAUCCCUUGACGGUAUCUAACCAGAAAGCCACGGCUAACUACGUGCCAGCAGCCGCGGUAAUACGUAGGUGGCAAGCGUUGUCCGGAUUUAUUGGGCGUAAAGCGAGCGCAGGCGGUUUCUUAAGUCUGAUGUGAAAGCCCCCGGCUCAACC